GAUGAACGCUGGCGGCGUGCCUAAUACAUGCAAGUCGAGCGAACGGACGAGGAGCUUGCUCCUCUGACGUUAGCGGCGGACGGGUGAGUAACACGUGGAUAACCUACCUAUAAGACUGGGAUAACUUCGGGAAACCGGAGCUAAUACCGGAUAAUAUAUUGAACCGCAUGGUUCAAUAGUGAAAGACGGUUUUGCUGUCACUUAUAGAUGGAUCCGCGCCGCAUUAGCUAGUUGGUAAGGUAACGGCUUACCAAGGCAACGAUGCGUAGCCGACCUGAGAGGGUGAUCGGCCACACUGGAACUGAGACACGGUCCAGACUCCUACGGGAGGCAGCAGUAGGGAAUCUUCCGCAAUGGGCGAAAGCUUGACGGAGCAACGCCGCGUGAGUGAUGAAGGUCUUCGGAUCGUAAAACUCUGUUAUUAGGGAAGAACAAAUGUGUAAGUAACUAUGCACGUCUUGACGGUACCUAAUCAGAAAGCCACGGCUAACUACGUG
rnacentral:rRNA from 1 species